AGGCAUCCCUUUCUUCUCAACUAAAACAGUUAUAUUUGCGUUUUUGCAGAGGCAUCCCUUUCUUCUCAACUAAAACAGUUCUAUUUGUGUUUUUACAGAGGCAUCCCUUUCUUCUCAAAUUAAACAGUUCUAUUUGUGUUUUUACAGAGGCAUCCCUUUCUUCUCAACUAAAACAGUUCUAUUUGUGUUUGUACAGAGUCUUCUCAACUAAAACAGUUCUAUUUGUGUUUUUACAGAGGCAUCCCUUUCUUCUCAACUAAAACAGUUCUAUUUGCGUUUUUACAGAGGCAUCCCUUUCUUCUCAACUAAAACAGUUCUAUUUGCGUUUUUACAGAGGCAUCCCUUUCUUCUCAACUAAAACAGUUCUAUUUGCGUUUUUACAGAGGCAUCCCUUUCUUCUCAACUAAAACAGUUAUAUUUUUUAUUUUACAGAGGCAUCCCUUUCUUCUCAAAUUAAACAGUUCUAUUUGUGUUUUUCUCUUCUGUUCCAGUACCAACACCUGUGUCACAGACAGUCCAUUCUGCUGUUCCACUACUGAUGCUAAGGCUGUUGUUGAUGCCGCAUGUGUUUUUGGCCCUGAAGACCCUAUUCCAAGUGCAGUUGACAAAUGGUUCUAUGUCUAAGUGAACUGACCCAGAAAGAAGAGCCUUCAGAUUGGAGCAAAAUGUUUUCUCACCUGAACGGAAGAAUCUACUUGAAAAUGACAGAAAACACGUGUAGUAUAAUUACAGUUUCCCAUUUUUAGUAUGAAUUGUGAUUGAUGCUUGUCCUCUUAGCAUGACAAGUACUCAACCAAGUAAGCCAGUUCUUUAUGUUUAUUAUAUUUCUCAAAUGUGUAACAAUAUGACCUUUAUAGUCCUUUAUAAACCUCUGCAGUUUGCCGUGUCUUGCAUCAUGUUGUUUG
rnacentral:lncRNA from 13 species